rnacentral:lncRNA from 1 species
GUACUACAGCCUCCCAGCAGCCUUCCCAGAUCUACAGACCACGCCCAGGGAAAAUUAAUAAAGUCACAACGUAUCGAGGCCCACAGUGAAUCUGCAGUCCAAGGCAUGUGUCCGGGCGGUGCACGUCCAGAUGGGAGCUUUACACGUGGCUCGCAACAAGACAGCCAUGGUUUGGAAGACCGUCCUUUUUCGUCAAGCCCACAGUUCACAGUGGAUGUGGUGAAGGACAAACCUUCUGAAACGAACCUGAGCAUGACUCUGAAUGCUCAAGAGCCUUAUCAUUUGGCAGAGAAAAAAACCAGUGAUGCGCAGUUUGUAACUCCUCCUCGGACACCUUCCCAGUCAAGUAUAGUGGACCAGACUAAGAGGGGUGGAAGAAACCAAUGUCCUCAGCCCAAGUCCUUGCAGCUUUUAAAGCCAUCCAACUUGAGUUCUUUGACACCUCCUCCAGAUUCUGAUUCAUCGCCAGGUAGAACUUCCACAUGUAAGAAGGCACCAGGAGUCACACCUUCCAAUUCAAAACAUCAGCCAACACCUAAUCCUAACAAUGUCGCAAAUCAUUUGAAUCUGAAAACAUCCAAACUCCGUCCCCCUUCAGGCUCUUUCAAGCAAAAACAAACAAGCAGUCCCCAAGCAGAGCCUCAGAACUUCCAGGCCAAGACAAGCAUCCCGAGGCCCUUAGCUCGGCCAAAAGAACUGCAUGCCCCACACAGCAGUUUGCAUUCUGGGGAUUGUGUGGCCUCUAAUCGAUAUUCUCGUCUUCCUAAACCAAAGAUCCAUUAAGUGCAUAGCCAUCACCUGCCAGUUUGUCCUGUGAAAACAGUCUGCUCUCUAAUAGCUUUAUGUGCAGCUUAUUUCUAUGUUGGAGGUUCCAUUUCAGCAAAUCUUAACAUUAAAAUGCAGAAGCUUCUACUAGUUUGGCUCCUCCAUUUUAUAUCCUGGUUGAGUUACGUACCGUUUGCACAGGCUUGUCUCAGGUAAACACAAGUUUACUUCUCCAUCCCAGAGGCCAAGUCCCUCCUCAUGGAAAUACUCCAUUUUUCAGGCAAGAUGUGCACUUUGCUGGUUUAGUGCUGUUGUGGGACAUAAUGACAGGUUAUCAGAAUCUCGCCCCCCAUGCUUAUUCUAACUCUUGUCAAUAUGGCUGCUAUUUUAACUAGAGAUCCAUAGUGGUGAUGGAAGGUCGUUGUCUGCGAGCAGGGUCCUGGCCAGCUUUUGUAUAUUUAUGAGGUCUAUGCAAACGGUCCCCAGUGAGGAAAGGUCAGGCUCCUAGUGGGGGAGUCUUACCAGUUUUAUCUUUCCUUUCAUAAUCUAGUCCUACUGUUUCUCCAUUUGUCAGACAAAUUCCUACGCUGACGGUUAUCAUUUUAUGUAAACCAGUUCUGUGCUGCUGUAACAUCUCGUUUUUCACACACAUUUACUCUUUGCUUACAUUGCUACUGGGAACAUUUGGAGAGCUUGGGAGGCCGAUGAUACAUCAGUUGUAACCUCUGUUGGUGCUAGAGUUUCGUGCUGCAAUUGAGUUUUGAAUCUUAGUAACUUAUGGAUCCAUCGUAUCACUUUUAAGUUUCCAUAGCAUACAUUGAAAAUUUAAAAUUAAGUCUUUAUUAUAAUAUUUGUAUUUAUUGACUUUUUCUUAAUGUCUGAAGACUGGAAUAAUGGACUUGAAAUAUUUGCACAAGAUUUUGGUGGGAUAUAAAAGAGGGUUUAA